GGUCUGUGAUGAGAAAUAGCCAAAUCUGACCACGGGAGGAUAAAAUCUUCCAGGUGUCAUGAUUUGUAUGCAGUUCUGAGA
rnacentral:snoRNA from 1 species